CUGAUCAGCAUGCCGCGUGUGUGAGAAGGCCUUAGGGUUGUAAAGCACUUUCGUUAGUGAAGAAAGGUUUAUGGUUAAUACCUGUGAAUUUGACAUUAGCUAAAGAAGAAGCACCGGCUAACUCCGUGCCAGCAGCCGCGGUAAUACGGAGGGUGCAAGCGUUAUUCGGAAUGACUGGGCGUAAAGCGCACGCAGGCGGUUAUUUAAGUCAGAUGUGAAAGCCCCGGGCUUAACCUGGGAAUUGCAUUUGAAACUGGGUAACUAGAGUAUGUCAGAGGAAGGCGGAAUUUCCAGUGUAGCAGUGAAAUGCGUAGAGAUUGGAAGGAACACCGAUGGCGAAGGCAGCCUUCUGGGGCAAUACUGACGCUCAUGUGCGAAAGCGUGGGUAGCAAACA
rnacentral:rRNA from 1 species